rnacentral:rRNA from 1 species
UUCUCGUAAGGGGGACCUGCGGAGGGAUCAUUACAGAGUUACUACUCCAAAACCCAUUGUGAACCUUACCUAUGUUCUGUUGCCUCGGCGGCGUGGUCAGCGCCCCCUCUGAAAAGAGGACGAUGCCCUCCCGCCGGCAGCACCAAACUCUUGAAUUUUACAGCGGAUUACAGUUCUGAUUUGAAAAGAAAAAACAAGUUAAAACUUUCAACAACGGAUCUCUUGGUUCUGGCAUCGAUGAAGAACGCAGCGAAAUGCGAUAAGUAAUGUGAAUUGCAGAAUUCAGUGAAUCAUCGAAUCUUUGAACGCACAUUGCGCCCGGCAGUAAUCUGCCGGGCAUGCCUGUCCGAGCGUCAUUUCAACCCUCGAACCUCCGUUUCCUCAGGGAAGCUCAGGGUCGGUGUUGGGGCGCUACGGCGAGUCUUCGCGACCCUCCGUAGGCCCUGAAAUACAGUGGCGGUCCCGCCGCGGUUGCCUUCUGCGUAGUAAGUCUCUUUUGCAAGCUCGCAUUGGGUCCCGGCGGAGGCCUGCCGUCAAACCACCUAUAACUCCAGAUGGUUUGACCUCGGAUCAGGUAGGGUUACCCGCUGAACUUAAGCAUAUCAAUAAGGCGGAGGAA